rnacentral:rRNA from 1 species
GAUGAACGCUGGCGGCGUGCUUAACACAUGCAAGUCGAACGGAAAGGCCCAAGCUUGCUUGGGUACUCGAGUGGCGAACGGGUGAGUAACACGUGGGUGAUCUGCCCUGCACUUCGGGAUAAGCCUGGGAGACUGGGUCUAAUACCGGAUAGGACCACAUUUUGGAUGGUGUGGUGGAAAGUUUUUCGGUGUGGGAUGAGCUCGCGGCCUAUCAGCUUGUUGGUGGGGUAAUGGCCUACCAAGGCGUCGACGGGUAGCCGGCCUGAGAGGGUGUACGGCCACAUUGGGACUGAGAUACGGCCCAGACUCCUACGGGAGGCAGCGGUGGGGAAUAUUGCACAAUGGGCGCAAGCCUGAUGCAGCGACGCCGCGUGGGGGAUGACGGCCUUCGGGUUGUAAACUCCUUUCGCUAGGGACGAAGCGUUAUGUGACGGUACCUGGAGAAGAAGCACCGGCUAACUACGUG